rnacentral:rRNA from 1 species
GACGAACGCUGGCGGCGUGCUUAACACAUGCAAGUCGAACGGAAAGGCCCUGCUUUUGUGGGGUGCUCGAGUGGCGAACGGGUGAGUAACACGUGAGUAACCUGCCCUUGACUUUGGGAUAACUUCAGGAAACUGGGGCUAAUACCGGAUAGGAGCUCCUGCUGCAUGGUGGGGGUUGGAAAGUUUCGGCGGUUGGGGAUGGACUCGCGGCUUAUCAGCUUGUUGGUGGGGUAGUGGCUUACCAAGGCUUUGACGGGUAGCCGGCCUGAGAGGGUGACCGGCAACAUGGGGACUGAGAUACGGCCCAGACUCCUACGGGAGGCAGCAGUGGGGAAUAUUGCACAAUGGGCGGAAGCCUAAUGCAGCAACGCCGCGGGCGGGAUGACGGCCUUCGGUUGGUAAACCGCUUUCGCCUGUGACGAAGCGUGAGUGACGGUAAUGGGUAAAGAAGCACCGGCUAACUACGUG